UCUGAGGGAAUCGGGAGGUAGUACAGGUGUGAGAUCUGAGGGAAUCGGGAGGUAGUACAGGUGUGAGAUCUGAGGGAAUCGGGAGGUAGUACAGGUGUGAGAUCUGAGGGAAUCGGGAGGGAUUACAGGUGUGAGAUCUGAGGGAAUCGGGAGGUAGUACAGGUGUGAGAUCUGAGGGAAUCGGGAGGUAGUACAGGUGUGAGAUCUGAGGUAAUCGGGGGGUAGUGCAGGUGUGAGAUCUGAGGGAAUCGGGGGGUAGUACAGGUGUGAGAUCUGAGGGAAUCAGGAGGUAGUACAGGUGUGAGAUCUGAGGGAAUCGGGAGGUAGUACAGGUGUGAGAUCUGAGGGAAUCAGGAGGUAGUACAGGUGUGAGAUCUGAGGGAAUCGGGAGGUAGUACAGGUGUCAGAUCUGAGGGAAUCGGGAGGUAGUACAGGUGUGAGAUCUGAGGGAAUCGGGAGGUAGUACAGGUGUGAGAUCUGAGGGAAUCGGGAGGUAGUACAGGUGUGAGAUCUGAGGGAAUCGGGAGGUAGUACAGGUGUGAGAUCUGAGGGAAUCGGGAGGUAGUACAGGUGUGAGAUCUGAGGCAAUCGGGAGGUAGUACAGGUGUGAGAUCUGAGGGAAUCGGGAGGUAGUACAGGUGUUAGAUCUGGGGAAUCGGGAGGUAGUACAGGUGUGAGAUCUGAGGGAAUCGGGAGGUAGUACAGGUGUGAGAUCUGAGGGAAUCGGGAGGUAGUACAGGUGUGAGAUCUGAGAGAAUCGGGAGGUAGUACAGGUGUGAGAUCUGUGGGAAUCGGGAGGUAGUACAGGUGUGAGAUCUGAGAGAAUCGGAAGGUAGUACAGGUGUGAGAUCUGAGGGAAUCGGGAGGUAGUACAGUUGUGAGAUCUGAGGGAAUCGGGAAGUAGUACAGGUGUGAGAUCUGAGGGAAUCGGGAGGUAGUACAGUUGUGAGAUCUGAGGGAAUCGGGAGGUAGUACAGGUGUGAGGUCUGAGGGAAUCGGGAGGUAGUACAGGUGUGAGAUCUGAGGGAAUCGGGAGGUAGUACAGGUGUGAGAUCUGAGGGAAUCGGGAGGUAGUACAGGUGUGAGAUCUGAGGGAGUCGGGAGGGAUUACAGGUGUGAGAUCUGAGGGAAUCGGGAGGUAGUACAGGUGUCAGAUCUGAGGGAAUCGGGAGGUAGUACAGGUGUGAGAUCUGAGGGAAUCGGGAGGUAGUACAGGUGUGAGAUCUGAGGGAAUCGGGAGGUAGUACAGGUGUGAGAUCUGAGGGAAUCGGGAGGUAGUACAGGUGUGAGAUCUGAGGGAAUCGGGGGGUAGUACAGGUGUUAGAUCUGAGAGAAUCGGGAGGUAGUACAGGUGUGAGAUCUGUGGGAAUCGGGAGGUAGUACAGGUGUGAGAUCUGAGAGAAUCGGAAGGUAGUACAGGUGUGAGAUCUGAGGGAAUCGGGAGGUAGUACAGUUGUGAGAUCUGAGGGAAUCGGGAGGUAGUACAGGUGUGAGAUCUGAGGGAAUCGGGAGGUAGUACAGAUGUGAGAUCUGAGGGAAUCGGGAGGUAGUACAGGUGUGAGAUCUGAGGGAAUCGGGAGGUAGUACA